AGUGAGCGGCAAAAGCUCAAAUUUGAAAUCUAGCACCUUCGGUGUUCGAGUUGUAAUUUGAAGAUGGUAACCUUGGGUUUGGCUCUUGUCUAUGUUCCUUGGAACAGGACGUCAUAGAGGGUGAGAAUCCCGUCUGAUGAGAUGCCCAUUCCUAUGUAAGGUGCUAUCGAAGAGUCGAGUUGUUUGGGAAUGCAGCUCUAAGUGGGUGGUAAAUUCCAUCUAAAGCUAAAUAUUGGCGAGAGACCGAUAGCGAACAAGUACAGUGAUGGAAAGAUGAAAAGAACUUUGAAAAGAGAGUGAAAAAGUACGUGAAAUUGUUGAAAGGGAAGGGCAUUAGAUCAGACUUGGUGUUUUACGAUUAUCUUCUCUUCUUGAGUUGUGCACUCGUAUUUCACUGGGCCAGCAUCGAUUCGGAUGGCAAGAUAAUGGCAGUUGAAUGUGGCUUCACUUCGGUGGAGUGUUAUAGCUUCUGCUGAUAUUGCCUGUCUGGAUCGAGGGCUGCGUCUUUUGACUAGGAUGCUGGCGUAAUGAUCUAAUGCCGCCCGUCUUGAA
rnacentral:rRNA from 1 species